rnacentral:rRNA from 1 species
AUGGCGGCCGCGAAGGCAGAUGCAAAGGCGGAACCAACUGGCGGCGGCGGCGGCGGCGGCGGCGGCUCGUUCACCGAGGAGAGGCUCUCCGAGAAGCUCAAUAAGCUCAGCAGCUCAGCGGCGAGCAUCCAGACAGCACUUUCAAAUUGGUGCAUAUUUCAUCGAAAGAGAGCCAGAAGGGUUGUCGAUACAUGGCAGAGGCAGUUUAAUAAUGCAACAACCGAUAAGAAAGUAUCAUUCCUGUAUCUGUCAAAUGACAUCCUGCAAAACAGCAAACGCAAGGGAGGAGAAUUUGUGAAUGAGUUCUGGAGGAUUCUUCCUGGGUUACUGAAAGAUUUCUACGAAAAUGGGGGACAAGAUGGAAAGAAAGUAGUGGCAAGAUUAAUAGGGAUUUGGGACGAGCGGAAGGUUUUUGGAACACGGAGUGAAAGUCUGAAGGACAUUCUUGGUGACAAUCCUCCUCCAUUAAAUAACAACAGCACUACUUCAAAUCCUACCUCCAAGCCCUCUUCAGUUUCGAAAUCUUCUCAGAGGGAUACCGGUCCAAUAAUAAAAAAACUGACUGUUAGCGGGAUGCCUGAAAAGAUUAUAACUGCAUACCAAUCUGUACUUGAUCAAUAUUUUGACGAAGACACAGCUUUAAACAAAUGUAAGAUUACAGUGAGUGUUUUGGAGAAGAUGAAUAAAGAUGUAGAUGAGGCUUGUACUAAUGACAUCCAGCAAGUGUCGUCACUGAUAUCCAACCUUCAAGAACAGGAAGCAAUCCUGAAGCAGUGCAUUGAGCAACUUGAAAGUGUUGAUGCGGCAAGGAUAACCCUGAUCAGUAACCUAAAAGAAGCCCUUAGUGAAGAGGAAAAAAAGUCGGAGCUUCUUCGCAAUCAGUUGCAAGUUGGUCGAGCAGAGGCUGAACAUGCCGCGCAACUAAGACAACGAUUUGGUGGUGCCCAUGCCACUAAUGGGGCAUGGUCUAGUUCUAGUACGCUCAUGACCACAAUUCCGUCAGAGCAGACUGCUGCGAUGAUGCAGAAUGCAGCAAUAAGCCCAAUAACUCCCCAGUUUCAACCACCACAUCCAGCAAUCCUGCUUUCCGCCACAGCCACUGCUGCAGAUGAUGAGCCCAAGAAAACGGCAGCAGCUAUGGCAGAUAAACUUGCAUCUUUGGCAUCUCCGGAGCAGGUGCUCUCCUCCAUUUUGGCCUCCCUUGCUGCUGAACAAGCUGCUUCCAUGAAUGGCGGCUCGCCUUCCGUAGAGCUCUCGGAAGGGCCUCCAGGCUUCCAGAUACCAAAGAGGCCUAGAAUUGAGAAUCCUACUCAAACCGGUGAUAUGGGUGCUCCCCUUUUCUUUGGGCAACUGCCACAGGCUGCCCAGCAGAAUGGAGCAGCGCCUACUUCUCUUGGAGGCAUGCAGUCAUCGAUGCAGGCAAAUCAAGCACCGGGCGCAUUUCCACCACCUCCCCCUCCACUGCCACCUAUGCUGCCGCCACUUCUGCAGCAAUUCAGUCAAAAUGGUGGAGGAAUGUUCGGAAUGGGACCUUUUGGGAUGUUGGCCAGCUCUAUGCCACCUCCACUGCCGAACAUGCUACCUCCAGGUUAUCCAAGGCCAAGUGGACCGCCACCUCCACCUCCUCUUUCACCAGCCCAGAAUCAGAGCCAGACCCAGCAGCAGCAGCAGUCUCCACAGGCACCGCAGCAAUCUCCAACAUCAACUGGCUUCUUUCCAACACCAGGCAUUGGGUUCUUCCCUCCGGUUCAGAUGCAGCAAUCACCGUCGGUCCAGCGGCAAUGA